UCUUGCCGUUUUCUCCUAUUCAUACCCACCACACUUUCGAUCUCUCACUUUUUUUUCUUUCUGUUAUGUCAAUAUUAAAAUAUCAUGUAAGCCUAUUUGCUAAAGAAGUUUAUGUCUAGGAUGUCUAUCAUGGUUUAUAUAGUUUAAAAGGUUUUGAGAUAAAACAAUCCCCAAUUGCGUUAUUUUAUCAAUUAGCGGUGGUGCAGUGAUGUUCAUUACCAAGUUUGAUUUCUGCAUCAACUCUUGCAAACGAUUCUUAUAACGCAAUAUCCUUAGACAUUAAGAUUCUUCUUUAUUCAUAUUAUUUGCCUAAUAGAUGAAGUUGCAACUUCAGAUAGGAUUCAGAUUAGAUUAGACAAAAUGCUACAUAUAUAUAACAUCUCAGGGAUGUAUCCUUUGAAGAUCAACGUCCAAAGUGGUUAUUGUCUACAACAUUUAAUUAGUGAUAGGAUUAUGUAUAUUGUUGAUUAGUUAAUUAAUUAGAAGCAAUUUGUAAUAAUAUAUAAAUAAAAUUAUUGUAA